rnacentral:sRNA from 1 species
UGCAUCUGCAUCUCAUGAGGAUGAGAACCUCCGGGGGCAGGGAGGUUCGACUCGAGCGAAGCGAGAGAACGUUGCGCCAGCAACGGCCCGCAGGGCGAGCCACGAAGUGGCGAGUAAUCCUCUAUCACCGACCA